GAUGAACGCUGGCGGCGUGCCUAACACAUGCAAGUCGAGCGAAAGGACGAUAAGCUUUUUCUUCUGCUGUUAGCGGGUGACGGGUGGGUGACGCGUACAUAGCCUUCUUCUUUUUCUGGGAGAAUUCCGUGAAACAGUAUAUAAUAAUACAUAAUAUUUUCUACCGGUUGGUGCAAAAGUUAUACGUGCUUUUCCCGUUACAUUUAGACGGUUUCGGGUUGGAUUAGUUAGUUGGUAAGGUAACGGCUUACCAAGGCAACGAUGCAUGGCUGAGCUGAGAGGGUGAUCGGCCACACUGGAACUGAGACACGGUCCAGACUCCUACGGGAGGCAGCAGUGGGGAAUAUUGGACAAUGGGCGCAAGCCUGACCGAGCAAUACCGCGUGGGUGAUGAAGGUCUUCGGAUCGUAAAACCCUGUUAUUAGGGAAGAAAAUAAGUAGAAGUAACUGUGCACAUCUUGACGGUACCUAAAGAAAAAGCAACGGCUAACUACGUG
rnacentral:rRNA from 1 species